UACGAAGGGGGCUAGCGUUGCUCGGAAUUACUGGGCGUAAAGGGCGCGUAGGCGGCCAACUAAGUCAGACGUGAAAUCCCUCGGCUUAACCGGGGAACUGCGUCUGAUACUGGAUGGCUUGAGAUUGGGAGAGGGAUGCGGAAUUCCAGGUGUAGCGGUGAAAUGCGUAGAUAUCUGGAGGAACACCGGUGGCGAAGGCGGCAUCCUGGACCAACACUGACGCUGAGGAGCGAAAGCCAGGGGAGCAAACGGG
rnacentral:rRNA from 1 species